GUUUUUUUUGUUACUUGUUUCAUGUUGUAAAUUAGUUUUGCAGUAUCAUUUUAAAGGAAUUUUAUUAAUUAUUCACCACAGCUGAGGCGUUGUUGAUUGUGUUUCUCUUGCACCAUCGGGCCCAACAAAGCAGCUCACGCAAUUCUAGCUACGUUGCCAUGGGUCCGGGGCAGCCCCAUACUGCCAUCUCACUGUGGCUGUGUGUAUCGAUGCUUACUGGACCUAUCCACUCGUAUGCACACAGUACCAGGGCACCGAAAAGCAAGCGCGGAAGUUUGUUUGGCCAGUUCAGCUUGCCACUUUCUGCUCCUCCUGUGUGUUGUAGUAAACCCGAACCCACCCCAUUCUCUCGCACACGCACCGAAGUCUCGGGCUGGGAAAGACUUUAUGUGGGUGUGAGCUGCUGCUGACCGUGUCGUCUCUUCCGACUCUUCUCUUCUGCUCCGACGCACAAUUAUGUCAAAACAAUCAAAAUGGCGUGCCAUCAUCAUCAACAUGGUUAGCCAUGAGAGAGAUAGAGAGAGAGAGUAGAGAGAGUAGAGAGUAGAGAAAUGUAUCGUUUUUGCGCGACGGUUAGGCGUGCAUCGUCGAUAGGAUUAUUUUAAUUCUUUCCGACAACAUCGAAAUGGAUUGUUGCUCAUAUUUAUGAAAAGAUUCUCAGUCGGUCAUCUGAUACGGAUACCCGUUUGAGUGUUGAAAUGAAAUGCCUUGUAUGUGUCACUCCAAGGUUCAGAUACGUUCAGAUGUGGGUGUUUUUUUUUCUCUCUCUCUCUCUCUCUCUCUCUCUCUCUCUCUCUCUCUCUCGAUGUGGAUAUGUUUUCUCAGCUUUGGGCAAUUUGCAUGAGGGAAUGCACUCACCGUUCUCGAUGGCUGGUCAAGAGGCAAGUUUGUAAAUGUGUUGGUACACUUACGCAUAAUCAAUUCACCCGAGAGAAGAAACAGAGAGUAAGAGAGAAAGAGAGCGCGGAAGCAACCCCUGUAUUUGUUUGUAUGCGCGUGCGUUCAUUGAGACAUCGUUCCAUUCCAAGAGAGAGCGAGAGAGCGAGAGAGCCGGCAUUACUGGAGGGGAAUGGGGUGGCGGUGGUAUUUGUAAACGAAAAGCAACUAAUGUUUGUUUACCGAAAGAAUGGUACUAGAAUCCCAGCAGCCCAGGCAUGCUGGGGAAAGAUUUACUAGAAACAACGGUGCUUGUUUCAUGACAUUUAGAGUGGAAUUAGUGUUUUGUCGUAAUUUAAGCAUAAUUGUUGCCAUUUUUGUUCGUUAAAGAAACUUUUCCAGUUCACUCAAACGUUCGUUUUAAGGUCUCAGUUGGUCCCGGAAAUUGUGAGGAUUUUUUGAGCACUUUCUCCCCUUUUCUUCAUGUCAUCAUUUUCUCAGAUAAAUUGCUCUAAUCCUUUUGUUUUGAUUGUUUUGCAAUUUUGCUUGUAUUUGCCCUUGACAUACAGCAUAUUGAUCCGAUAUUAUAAACCCAUGGUGGUUGGCAGAUGUAAUUUACCUUGUCUCCUUCCACGUUCCCAUUGGGAAUGCUUCAUGCGGCAUGUUACUACGUGCUUAAAAUUUGCUCGUGUGCCAAGCAGUUCCAGCAAACCAAACAUCCAACAUGUAGGACCAUACAUUUUGUGUCUAUUUUGUUACUACUGAUCUAUACAAUUUUUCACCUCACACCAAGUCACUACUGCUAUAUAUUGGUUGCUGCAGGAGCCGUGGAACUGUUGAAAUCGAAAUGGCCACCCAUGCGGCUGCUUCCCACCAUCCAUCGAUUUCACCCACUCACUCCGGGCAGCGGGCCUCGUCGUUCGACGCCGGGGUGCGGGUGGUAAAAAGUGCAUUAAUCUAAAUGGUGAUUUUAAGUCGACAUCUCGUGCACAGCUUCCCGGGCGAAAGGGCGACAGGGGGAGGUGGGGGUGGUUAUUACUCCGUCACAUCAUCGUAAGUUAUCCGUUAUUUUGGAGGAAAACCGGCUGCUGCCGCCGCCCACUUGCGCGUCACUCACGCACUGGAGAGCGCCAGGCAAGCAUGUAGACGCUUGUCCCCGUCGUGCCUCGUGCGGUAACAUGACGGGUGCGCCCACACACCGGCCUGUACCUUGUGCUGUUGGACCACGCAUAUUAGCCUACGCACCGGGCAUGGAGCAACAUUCCCAAGACGACUUAAACAAACAAAAAAACACAAACUAGUUCCAUCUAACGCAUCUCAUCGAAUGCACUGCACCAACACACACGCGCGAAUGCGCGGUAUGUGGUGUACUUUCUCGGGUACUCGAGCAUCACGUUGAGUUGGUGUUGUCGUUGAAAAGCCAGUGUGUUGUCGUAGCCAGGACCGCUGGAAAACAUUAUAUGAUGGAAUGUAUAUUAACGAUUAGAGCUGAACGAACAUCGAAAGAGGUUGAUACAGGAUGUUUAAACAUUAUUUAAGAGUGCUCUUUAAAGCUUUUUCCUCUGAACUUGUCGCCUUCAUCGGGGGAAGCAUUUAGAUGAUAGGAUGUUUAUUUCUUCAGCACUUUAGUCCCAUCAACUCGCCCGACGCCAACACGUUGCUCGUCGUGAGUUCAAGUCUCGUAGUGACCGUCGUCCUGUAUAGGCCGGCAAGAUCGUGUAGGAUUCGUUGCCUUUCCCUUACUGUGUAAUGCCUGUUUCGCUAAUAAUGCUAGAAUACUUCCGUUCAAUAAAGGGGCAAAAGCCUCCUUUUUCCUUCAUGUUUGGAUACGGAAAUCUGGAGCCUAUUUUGUACGAACGAAGUACGCAUGAACCUUCAACAUUAAACUAAGCUGUCAGACGCAUAUCCUAAAUCUUUUUUUUCUACUUUAUGUUUGCACGCGAGGGGUGUUUCAAUGAACAAUUGCGAAGAAAAGAAAAAAAAAACGCACAGAACGAAAUUACAAUACAGCCGAAAUUUUGGUUUAAUCAAGGAUCGGUUCGAAUGCUGGUUUCCGCUGGUUCCGCGCGCAAUGAAGAGAGACGCUAACGAUUCCUAAGAUCUGUGCGCACCGUUACCGGGUCCUGCUGCAAGAACGCCCCGAAUAGUCGCGACUCUGGGCAGGAAGGAAGGAACAGGACAGCAUCAACACUUCUCGUGCCAUGCUACGGCCAGAUUAUGGGAGAAUAACAACAAAAGAACAAACAACCAAGACAAACAGCAGGAAGAAAAGGGGAUGAUAGAGACCGAUGGUAUGGUGGUGGUGGUGGUGAAAUGAAGGAACUGGUUGUCGAAAAUUAGACAAAAAAGGGGUUAAACGGGCAUUUGUUCCUGGUGGCAUUCUUCUCAAAUAUGUUGCUUCUAUUCGUACUUUAUCACACAAACACAGACACACUCACACAUUCGCUCUCUUUUUCUAUCUAUCGCUCUCGCUUUUACUUUGGUUGUUGCCUUUUUAUUUUUUUAUGUUCUUAUUCCUCCUUUUGGUUGAUUGCAACAUCCUAGGCCAUGGAUUUUUUUUGCUUUCUGCCGUUUGUGUGUGUGUAUUAUUGCUAGUUUUGUUUGGUAGUUUUAUUCGCCAACCUAUCCUUAACCCCCAGCCCAUCUCUCCCUCCUUCUCCUCCUCCUCCUCCUCCUCUUCCUGGUUGCUUUGAUUGUAGUGGCGGUGCGCGAGCCGGUAGACGCGAGAUUCGGCGGCUUUUGCGCGACCGUCUCACGCGGAGGCCCCUUUUCUGGGGCAGAGAGCAGCAGCCCCUCUGGAUGGCCCUCUGCAGCCCAGCAUGAUGAUAUUUGUGCGCGCCAAAUUUGUCUUCGUGCGGCUUCUGGCAAGGCUUCUUCCUGGUGGAGGAUUGCCUAGAGAGAAGGGGGAAAACACACACACACACGCACACAAACAACAAAAAAGACAACCGAACCGAAAUCGCAGGUAGAAAAGCCCCCAUUUCUGCAGCCUCGAGAUCAAGCGCUGUGUGCGCGAACGCCGUGGAGAUUCGGGCUGUUUAGGAAGUUUUGCGCAAUCCGAAAGCACACAUGUGCGCGCGCGAACCUUUUUUGGUUGAUGUUUUGGCCUGCCAUUGAACCAGUUUCAAGGGUAUGGCUGGCAUGGAACGGACAGUCUUGUUUUUUUUCUUCUCUCUCUUCAAUUUCUUUCCUUUUUGUCGCUUCGAGAGCGCGCCUGCUGUCUAUGGCGACACACGGGGUGUGUUGUACACAGGGCGAGCGCGCGUGAAUGCUUUCUAUUUAUGAGCUUCCAUACUUCGCUGGCCCAAAAGUAGUUGACAACCGAUUGUAUGCUGUAAUGCCUUGACCCUAGAAGUAGAAGCUCGCCCAAAUCACUUCGACUGUUACUUGUUGAACGUCGAAUAGUAGAAUGCUUCCAAAAUGAAUGCGCGCACGCAGGCUGAAAGGUGGAUGGUAGCCAUGGUACCAAACGUAGGAUACUACCCAGGCUGCAAAUGACAGCUGAAAAGACGUCUUUUGGUGGUCUUUCGGGUCACCGAAAGUCCGCCGAAAGACGUCUAUAUAACACCAGUUUAGACCGACAUUGACAACACCAGCGAUGUUUUUCCUAUGCGAUGUAUUUUGAUGUCAAUGUCAAAACAUACAGUGUUGCCAGCAAAAAAAAAUCAAAGCUUUGUUGCUGUCAUUCUAUCGUCUUGUUGAGCCGCGCACUGUCAAUCACACGUAUUGCGUUGUGCGUUUCGCUGACAAGCUGUGGUGUGUGUUGUAUAUCGUUCUAAUGUUAGGUUAUUAUUUAGUGUAAGAGAUAUAGAUUUACCUUUUGAUUCUUUGAUGAAUGGAUUUGAACUCGUUCCUUCGAAUGUGCAGUACAUAUCCCCACCGCAGUAGUGAUUGGUCCAACGCUUCUCCGCUGAUAGACACGCAACUAUAGCGCUAUAUAAACCAUCAGAGACGCAGGAUGGAAAACGCAAAACGUCCGAGGUUCAUCGUUCAAAUGAAAAAUGGGAAGGCUGUAUUGUUACCGAUCAAUCAAGCAUCCUCUACUCCGCCAGUUAAAAUAAACUCCUAUCAUCAUUUACAUCCGGAUGUUUUGGAAGAUUUAUCCUCGUGCUCAGAUAAAACACAAACAUACGAAGAACAUAACGAAAAUUUCAUCCAAACACCGAGCACCUCACGACAAGACUUGCUAAAAAACCCACUUCCGAAGCAAAAAUCCUGUUCAACACAAACCAAUAGACAAACUGAAGGAGAUUAUUUAUGGAACGAAAUUAUCAACAAACUAGACUUAAUACAACAGGAGCAAAGACAGCAAGCAGAGAUAUCAAACAAGAGAAUAGCAGCUUUGGAAGGACAAAUCAAAUUGAUGCGGUCGGAAUUCAACAUUGUCUCUGACAAAUUGAUUCCUCGUCCAGGGUUUGUGGCUGUGUCGAGUUUUGAGUGGGAACCACUAGCAAACAAAAAUGAUCUGGAUACGCUUGAAAAAAGAUUGUCGGAACCUGAGUUUAGAAAGAAUUUCAAUGACUAUUUAGAAACUCGUCUACCAUCAGAUUGUUCAGAAGAAAGGAUGCAUGCGGCUAUGGACAUAAUAUUUACAAAGGAGCUAGUGACUCAAAUCACGUGGACGGGCAUAAGUCGUCCCAUUGAAAAAAUAUGCUUUUUCGAAUACAAAAAUAUAAUUAGGCAAUUUAAAGACAUAGGAACAUACGGAGGUGUUACACCAUCUGAUAAAGCAAUCAAAGGUUUUUUCCAAAACAAAUUCAAGCAUGGUGGUCAAAGGCUAAACUUAGUUGGAUUAGUUAGAACUUCUCAUCAUCGACGCUAGAAAUCGUAUAAGUUGCGCAGUGUCGUUAUGUAAGUUAGAAAUGAAUGAAUUUAUUAAAUGUGUUCGGAAAUACCAUCAUGUGAUAUGAAAACCAUAAGAAUUGCAAUAAAGAUUAAAUUUAAAAUGUACAUUUCUGUUUUAUUCAAUUAAC